rnacentral:tRNA from 1 species
GGCCUAGUAGCUCAGCUGGUAUAGCAUGCGCGUACAAAGCGUAAGUGUCGUCCAUGCGUGGGUUCGAAUCCCACCGAGGUUA